UGAAAACUACAAUUCAGUACCCAGAAAGAUUUGAUUUAGAUUUUACGCCUUCUAAUUUAUAUAAGUUCUCUGCUUCUGGCUGAAAAAUGCUCAACGGACUUUUCAAAAGUUCAUACAUGAAAUAUUCUCAGAAAUGAUAACACCAGAAGAAGAUACCAUUAUUUUUAGAAAACGUAAUGAAAGAGUAACAGAAAACGUGAAAGGAACAUUUCGAAAUAUCAUAAGAUUUUUUGGAGGAGGUUGUUCUAAAUAAACUUGAAUUAAAAAUAAAAUAUAGAAUCAAAUUCACUUGCCUUUCCAUUCAUCCAUCGAAUAACAAUGGAAAUUAGAAUUUCAAAUUGUGAUUGUGGUAAACACCUGCAAUAUGUUGAAAUAUUAAUAUUUAAAUAUUUCUCACGAAAGAGAUGAAAAUAGAACAAAACGUUCGAAAUUAAAUAAAGGAAAAAUAACGCAAUUUUUACGAAAUAUGAAAUUAUGUUUUAUAUAAAAAAAAAUUAAACCGUUUUAUAAUGAGAACUCACAAUUCUUCGGCAUAAAGAAAACUAGAAUAACGAAAAUCAUUAUAUA